CCGGAACAAGUGAGUGGAAGCAAGCCUAAGUUGUGAGUAGGCUGAGUGUAUUUGCUGCGAGAAAUCGUUGCCGUUCGGGUGUUGAACCGUUGCCGGUUUUUCAGUUGCUUAAGCAGCCAAGAAGUCUCCGCCGCUUCGUUCCGAGGCCGUUCCAAGCAGACUAUUGUCAUAGUCACUACGCCCACUGGCAGAAUGCAAGGCCAGGGCUUCCCCGACACUCACACAACGACCACAACCACAACAACUAGGUCUGUCUCAUGGCUGGUCUUCGACCCAUCCUAUCUGCGAACCUUACCAGGCAUCUUGAAAGGAGCUCAAAUUAUUAUUAACCUGAUCGGGUUCAUCUGCUCUCAACUGGACUACUACUUUCCAAGCACGUCCAACUGGUAUGGAUUUGUGUCAAUGACCGCAUUUUGGGUUACGCUGGUGCUCCUCUUCUUCUACAUUUUUCGCCUGAUUGAGAAGAUCAAGAUUAUUCCUUGGAUGCUUGCGGAGUUCGUGUACUGCGGUGUCUGGGCUGCUCUUUAUUUCACAGCUGCCAUAGCUGCAGCUGUCAAAGGCAGAUAUCAAGAAUGUCUGGCAGCUGCUGCUUUCUUUGGCUUUGUGGCCAUGUUCCUGUACGGGGCAGAUGCCUUCUUCAAAUACAAAGGCUGGAAGUCUGGAGAGCCUGCCCAGGGUGAGAGAUCCGUGCCCAGUGCAGGGCUUGGAGCUUCAAACACGGUGUCACCUACCAGCCCCAACUACCCUGCCUACUAACCAUGCACGCUACUAAAGCAUGCACCCACCCCUCAGGCUAUGACCAACUUGAGUGAAGAGUGGUGUGAAGAUGAACCUUGCGAGUCCUGCAUUCAGCACUAAAAUGGACGGCCCCCAGGGUGACAGUGAUGGGAGGCAGCUGCUGCAAUGAGAAACUAAUACGGCGGAGAAGAGGAGAGGCACCUGUCAUACUUUCUUUUCAAUUGGCGGUAUCAUCUUUCUCUGUGUGUUAAUGCUUAUUUUGGUGUUUGUAAAUGGAGUGUGCGAAGAGGAGGGCUAAGAUAACAUUUUGUGGGCAACAUUUUAAGGACAAGAAGCUAUAACUUUCCCUUUUAGUUUUCGGUCACGUUUGCCUUUAUGUUUCAAGAUUAAGAAAGAGGUUCAACUCUUCCAAAUCAGCGGCGAAGUUUUAAAGUUAUUGGCUGCUAAAGUGCUGAUAUGCAGUGCUGCUACACACCUUUAUUUUUAAACAAGUAGUACCAAAGCAUAUUUUUUUUAUUUGCCGCCACAGGGCAUAGUAGCUUUUUAUUUACCUAAAUUCUUGCAUUCAGGAAUAACAGUUGCAUUCAGCUCAGAUGUUGAAGGCCGUGCUUUUAGUGCAAGAAGGCACUACAGUUUUUUAUUUUAUUUUUUUGUGACUGCGCACAAAUUACCUUGAAUGCAUAUUUUUUGCUUAAGUGCAAGUGCAAAAUUUAAUUAGGGAUAGUCAAUCAGAUAGUUCUGUACAUAAUGAUAUAUGAGACGAAGUUAAAUGUUCUGUGGCCCAGUUUGGAAUGUGUAGUAGGCAAAAGGAAUGAUAUGAUAUGGGCCUGCUACUCUCAUGAAACACCUCCUAGGUUGUGUGCUAAAUAGCUGCAGUGUAAAAACAAAAGCGGCAAUCGUAUGAAAACCUUUACAUCUGCAUGAUUAUUUUUAUUACUUUUGUUUAUUUGUUGCUAAUAUUAAUGCUUCACAAAACUUUGUUGGUACUUGCUGUGUAUACGUACUACGCACAUACUGGAGUUGAGGCUGCACCUUUGCAUCUUCAGCAGUUCACUUGCACUAAUAUUUGUUCACUCCUACAUUUAUCUAUGCAGUGAGCAUGGCCCUUACUUGUUAUUCCUUCACUGUGGCGCUAUGAUGUAGUACAAAAGCAUCAGCUCAAGUUUUGCCAUUGCACUAAUUGUCCCCCUUCUAGGCUGUUCAUUUAAGCGGUAUGUGAGUGCUGUCUAUAUGUAUCUUGGAGUCAGUUCAAUUUUUUUUUCUUUUUUUUAGCUUAGGUAUUAUAAAAUUUGUGCAUAUCUUUUGUUGCACUUUCCCCCAAAACUGAACAAGCACAGAGUCAGUGAUGGGAUGCCUAUGUUCAAUGCCCUGUUCCUUUCAUAGAAAUUAUUUACACUGUGUACAUUUUUCUGUACCUGCAGUAUCGUUCUAGUGAUGUUUGUGUUCCUGCCAUUCUGCAACCUUGGUUAGAAUGAAAAUGCAGUUUUUGCAUUAACGUUACUUCUAAUUUAAGGCCUGCCACUUGCAGGGUGAUGUGCAGCUUAGCACAAGUUGCAUGCCGUGAAUAAAUGGCCACUGUAGAUGACACUACUGCAAAAUGCUAAAUAUACUAUUUCUCUUGGUUUGUUUUUGUUGAACUGUAUUUUUAAGAAAUGCCUCUCCUGAUGAGCAACAGUACAUUUCGAAAUGUAUUUUCGUUCCACUUCAUUUAUGUUUGCAUGUUGCUGCUUGUCUGCUGGCCUGCUGAGGUCAAGAGAGCCAACCACAUGUCCUGGUUUAUUUUUCCACCUUUCUGUCAUACACCUCUGACCAAUUUAUUAUAGACAAACAAUGUGGUAUUAGAUUCGAUAUGAUGACGUCUGAAUUUUCUCUUUCUAUCUUUUUUUUCUUAUGCUGCUUCGUAUACUGAAAGCACUUUUUGCUUAGUGAACCCACUAGGCGUCUAGCUGUGACUUUUCACUAAAAUACUUUGAUGCAACAUUCUUGUACCAUGCCAAGGUGUCCACAAAAUUCUUGCUCUUCCUGUUGUGUGAGGACACCUUGAGCAUGUUGCCGGUUGGUUGAAUUGUGCCAUAACAUAUAUAGCAGUUUGCAUCUAGGCUGUUCUGAAGGAUACAAUGCACAUAAAUGUGCUACAUGACUGGCAAUAGCAUUGGCGCUUAUUUUUGUGUGAAGGGGCACUUUACAGAGUUUUAUUUAGAAUGCUUUCAUGCUGAAUCUCUUGCUGAACAACCUGCAUUCUCAUUUGCACUUGUUCCCAAACUGCACUGUCAUCCACCUUGUGUCGAUCUGUUGUAGUUGGGCCAGGCUUACAAGUGACGCAGAUACCAGACUUGCAUUGUCUGUGCUAGGUCAGAGCAUUUAUCAUUCAUUGUGAAAAUGUUUGUGGAGAGCAACUAUGUAAACAUGCAAAGAUAUCUGGGCUGGUGUGGCGGCUGAAGGGAUGCCCUCAUAUAAGUAGCUCCUUCAGGAAAUGGUGUUAUCAGGUUUAAACCACUGCCAAAUGGGUGGAAAUGUUCGUGUGUAUGUGUGGACACAGUGUUAGAAAAAGAAACCACAUUACUUGGGUCCGUAACAUCGAAGACUUUGCCAGUCACCUGUUUCAUGUGCUGCUUAUUGUAGUUUUUAUCACCGGCAUUGCUCAUGUUUGUUUUCCAUUUGUGACCUUGCCAGACGUUUUGCACUGUUGAAAUUGUCUUGGUUGACUUGUUUUACAACAUGUGCUUUGACCGUACAUUAAAGAUCAGUGUUAUUAUAAAGCAGA